CUCGCUACAAAGCCUUGUUACUUUGCAUUAACGCUGAUGUUCCCGUCGAUGACCUUUUCCCCCGACGGAGAACCUUAGAACUCGUCAAGAAGUAAAGAUUUUGAAUCGAUCUGCAGGGGCUCGCUGUUGAUAUGCCGAUCGUAUAAAAAUAGAAAACUGGGGAAUAUCUUGUUACGAGGAGCAACUCAUUUUCAAAUAUUCGACCCUCAUACGAAAUUCGGUUUAAUUUGAUUUAGUAUGAGAAUUAGGCGUUUGAGAAGCUUUUAUGAGAACAUCUUAGGAGUUUGCUGAUUCUUGAAGAGGCUUUACUUUUAAAGCAAGUGGCAGGAAAGGAGAUCGACAAGGGAGACGCGGCAACGACGCGACGCCAGUGUUGCCUCGUGCAAAAAUAACGUGGAAAGCCUGCUUUAAACUCAGCCGACCGCACUUACUCGAAAUAUACGCAGUGCGCGCCUGCCGCUUCUACCAAAUCAUUUUUAAAUCUCAUUGAACAGUAGACAGCUUGGAAAAUUCGCAUUAAUUGCGCUAUGCUUCGUUAAUGACGAUUGUGUAAUGUGUAACGUUGUCUAAAUACCGCACGGAUAAAGCGACGCGGCCUAGAACCGCUUUGAUUCUCGACGUUUGCGUACACGCCGUAAAUGGACGGCGCGGAAACCGAUGCCUCCAAGAUCGUUCGGUUAAUCUUUGCUUCCAAACUGCCCGAUUAUUUUUAGAGGAAACUCUAUUGGCG
rnacentral:misc_RNA from 1 species